ACGAACGCUGGCGGCGUGCUUCACACAUGCACGUCGAACGGAAAGGCCUGCUUUCCCUUGUGGAUUGCGGGUACUCGAGUGGCGAACGGGUGAGUAACACGUGAGUGAUCUGCCCCCAACUUGGGUAUAAGCCUGGGAAACUGGGUCUAAUUCCCGAUAGGACUGCAGGGUGGUGCCUGUGGUGGAAAACGAUUUUCUAGUGGUUGGGGAUGAGCUCGCGGCCUAUCAGCUUGUUGGUGGGGUAAUGGCCUACCAAGGCGGCGACGGGUAGCCGGCCUGAGAGGGUGGACGGCCACAUUGGGACUGAGAUACGGCCCAGACUCCUACGGGAGGCAGCAGUGGGGAAUAUUGCACAAUGGGCGGAAGCCUGAUGCAGCGACGCCGCGUGGGGGAUGACGGCCUUCGGGUUGUAAACUCCUUUCGACCGCGAGGAAGCCACCUGGUUGGAAGGGUGGUGACGGUAGUGGUAGAAGAAGCACCGGCUAACUACGUG
rnacentral:rRNA from 1 species